rnacentral:rRNA from 1 species
GACAGAGGCCUCAAGCGUUAGGCGGAAUCACUGGGCUUAAAGCGUGUGUAGGCGGAUCGUUAAGUGCCUUGUGAAAUCCCACGGCUUAACUGUGGAACGGCUGGGCAUACUGGCGGUCUUGAGCCAUCUAGGGGCGACUGGAACAAACGGUGGAGCGGUGAAAUGCGUAGAUAUCGUUUGGAACGCCAAUGGUGAAAACAGGUCGCUGGGGAUGCGCUGACGCUGAGACGCGAAAGCGUGGGGAGCAAACAGG